UAACUGGAGGGCUUUCUCCUAUUCCUGC
rnacentral:sRNA from 1 species